rnacentral:rRNA from 1 species
GACGAACGCUGGCGGCGUGCCUAACACAUGCAAGUCGAGCGGAGACAGUGAGUAGCUUGCUAUGAGCUGUUUUAGCGGCGGACGGGUGAGUAACGCGUGAGCAACCUUUCCCAGACAGGGGAAUAACACACCGAAAGGUGUACUAAUACCGCAUAAGACCACGGGAUCACAUGGUUCUGGGGUAAAAGAUUUAUCGGUUUGGGGUGGGCUCGCGUCCGAUUAGGUAGUUGGUGAGGUAACGGCCCACCAAGCCGACGAUCGGUAGCCGACCUGAGAGGGUGAUCGGCCACAUUGGGACUGAGACACGGCCCAAACUCCUACGGGAGGCAGCAGUGGGGAAUAUUGGGCAAUGGGCGCAAGCCUGACCCAGCAACGCCGCGUGAAGGAAGAAGGCUUUCGGGUUGUAAACUCCUGUUGUUGUAGGAAGAUAAUGACGGUACUCAACAAGGAAGUGACGGCUAACUACGUG